rnacentral:lncRNA from 1 species
CUCAUUCAUUUUUUUCUCCACUCUUUCUUCAGCCUUUCUCUUCCAUAUUUACCCUUUACACACUAGCAUGUAUUUGAUUUGUUCCUUGCUCUUCACUUAUUUGUUUCAUGUGGCUAAACCAUUCCAAAAUUGACUUACUUCAUCUAUCACUCAUUUUUACUCCAUAUUGCUUUUAUAUUUUAUCAUUUGAAACACAGUUGCAUAGCAUCACUCCAUGUACACCUCUCAAGUAUCUCAUCUUCAUUGUACUUAAACACUCUUUUAUGCCUUUCACCCCAUAUCCAAGUCAAUAUAUAUCAGUUUUGAACAGCACAUUCUAAUAUACAACCAUCCUAACAUUUUUUGACAGAUUUUCAUUUCUAGCAUAUUUUCCAA